ensembl:snRNA U4 U4 spliceosomal RNA
AGCUUUGCGCAGUGGCAAUAUCGUAGCCAAUGAGGUGUACCCGAGGCGCGAUUAUUGCUAAUUGAAAACUUUUCCCAAUACCCCACCAUGACGGCUUGAAAUAUAGUCGGGAGAAAAAAAAAAGAUAUAUCAU